rnacentral:ncRNA from 1 species
UAAAAAACGUUGAAUGAGAAAAGUAGAUAUUAUGAAGUUUUAAGGGAGAGAAGGUCAUAGACUGUAAGCCUUCUUAAAUGAAUUGAUAUUGAAGUUCACUCAGGAGUUCCAGUUGUGAAAUUAUAGUAGUGACUGGCGGCAAAAAAAAGUCGUUAAUUAAAUUAAGUUGGGUUAAUCUUGAGUAAGAAAACCAAUUAGGGUGGUAACGCGAUAAUUCGUCCCUUUC